UACAGAGGUCUCAAGCGUUGUUCGGAUUCAUUGGGCGUAAAGGGUGCGUAGGUGGCGCGCUAAGUCAGGUGUGAAAUCUCGGGGGCUUAACUCCGAAACUGCAUUUGAUACUGGCGUGCUUGAGGACUGGAGAGGAGACUGGAAUUCAUGGUGUAGCAGUGAAAUGCGUAGAGAUCAUGAGGAAGACCAGUGGCGAAGGCGGGGUCUCUGGACAGUUCCUGACACUGAGGCACGAAGGCCAGGGGGAGCAAACGGGG
rnacentral:rRNA from 1 species